GGCCUCUGGCCAGGCCGGGGCGCAGAACACUUGCAUAAGAAGAGAAGGAACCGGUGAGCUGAGCAGAGUAGAGUGGCCCCUGACUCCCAGGCAAGAUGCCAGAUAUCACUGCUGGAGAAACACAGAAUACCAUGUUCAAAUGGAGCUUCCGUACUUUCCAAGAAGCCAAUGAGCAAACAAAUGAAAUAACCAAUAUUAUUUCAGCCAUGUGGCUAGUGUGCAAAUAGCAAGGAGUGCAAGAUGAUGCGUCAGAGGAAGUCAAGACCAGGCAUGCUGGGCUCUGUAGGCCAUGUUAGCAGUUUCACUUUGAAAUAAUAACAUCUUCAGAUGCACAUUUCUGGUCUUGGCCCAUGGGGCUCUCUCAUCCCUGCUUCCUUGCAUUCACCCAUGUUCCUCCACAGCCAUGUCACCCUGUGAACCCCACAUUCAAUGGACUGAUGGACUGCAAUGGGGAACAUAAACUAAACUAACCUGAUGCUGGACUGGAGUAUGAAGGCAUGGAAUGAAACCUCUGAACACUGACUCUAUUGAAACUACAGCUGCACUUCUUUUAUGGCAGGGCUGAGGGAGAGGGGACCUUAAAA